CUUAAAACGAGAGUUUGAUCCUGGCUCAGGACGAACGCUGGCGGUAUGCCUAAUACAUGCAAGUCGAACGAUGAAAUCCUCUGCUUGCAGAGGAUGGAUUAGUGGCGAACGGGUGAGUAACACGUGGGUAACCUGCCCAUAAGAGGGGGAUAACAUUCGGAAACGGAUGC
rnacentral:rRNA from 1 species